AUCAAUUCACCAACUCAUUUUUGAGAUUUUUACCCCGAACUACGAGGUUUUGAUCCUAAUCUUUUUUAAGAUGGUACGUAGGCAAUGAGUUUAUCCAUCCAAACACAAAUGUAAAUAAACUUGUAUAUUCUCUUCUCAUCUCUUCAAUCAUGUGUGCACAAACAAAUUUUUUCACAAAAAAACAACAACCUUACAACACGUAUGAAAAGGGCUCCCUAGGAGUACCUAGGAUGUUUUGGGUGCCUAACAC
rnacentral:lncRNA from 1 species